AGCAUAUUAAUAAGCGGAGGAAAAGAAACUAACAAGGAUUCCCUCAGUAACGGCGAGUGAAGCGGGAAGAGCUCAAAUUUGAAAUCUCCGAUGCUUGCAUCGGCGAGUUGUAGUUGCGAGAAGCACUUUCUAGGCGGAUCGACGGUGCCUAAGUUGCUUGGAACGGCACGUCGCAGAGGGUGACAACCCCGUCUGUGGCGCCGCCGGCCGCCGACGAUGUGCUUUCGAAGAGUCGGGUUGUUUGGGAAUGCAGCCCAAAACGGGUGGUAAACUCCAUCUAAAGCUAAAUACUGGCGUGAGACCGAUAGCGAACAAGUACCGUGAGGGAAAGAUGAAAAGAACUUUGAAAAGAGAGUUAAAAAGUACGUGAAACCGUCGAAAGGGAAACGAAUGGACUCAGCAAUGCGCCCUCUGAGAUUCAGCCGGUGGGUGGCGGCGGCGCCGGGUUUGCGGAUCUGAAUGGACCGCGGCCUGGCGCCCGCCUCUCCCCGCCGUCGCACUUCUCUGGGGCGCGCGUCAACGUGGGUUGGGACUGGGUCUGAAAGGCGCCGGGAAGGUAGGUGUGGGCCUUCGGGUCCGUUCUGUUACAGCCCGGUUCUCUCAUGGCUCGGGCCCGACCGAGGAGUGACACGGGGCAUGCCUCCUGUGGCUAGGGUCCCGCCCUUCCGGCCGGCUGUCCAGUGCGGUGGACUGCUUGCAGUGCUCCGCGACGGCUGCCGGUCGUUGGGGUGGUGAUCUCGUACCAUGCCCCUAGGAUGUUGGCGGUCAU
rnacentral:rRNA from 1 species